CUCCCUCAGCCAGCUGCAAUCAGUCCCCGCUGUCACGCUGUGUGGAAUCUGUGCUAGCUGCUUUGCCGGCAUCAAAGAUUUUCAGAUCGAUUAUGCUGUCUGCUGCAGUCUAGAUCUAUCAACUGCAGAGCUGCUGUGAGCCUUCCUGAUCCCGGGACAGCAGCUGCAGUAUACUGUAUCUCACUGCCAGUCUGCUGAAAGUGAAAGCUCACAUCCCAGCAGUCUCCUCUCAUACAGCGUGAAACCAUAGGGAUGGAAGAGAGAGGAGCAGCGCCCAGCCAGACGUCUGAAUGUAGCAGUGUCUUGGAUCUGUCCUGUACGUAUGAUAUAUCAGAAGGGCUCCUGCAACAGGAGCCUUCACCUGGAACAUUGGGAGAAGAUUUAUGUCUUGAUCUAUCUCCUGCUUUAUCGCUGCCAUCACAGAGCAAUACAGCACAAUCAUAGAAAGCUUUGGUGUCAUUACAUCCAGCCUGGCAACAAAAGACUCAUAAGUGUUGUCACAUUUGUGGAAGCAGAAUGGCAGAUGAUUGAAGCUCUACGUGACUCAGCCGACUGACAACAGAUGGAACGACACCCGUUUCCCUAAAUGAUUAAUGGGCCUGCUCCUGUCAGAAUCUACUUUUUCCUUUUCCA